rnacentral:tRNA from 1 species
GCCUGGGUGGCGGAAUUUGGUAGACGCAAGGGACUUAAAAUCCCUCGGUCCUAAGUGGCUGUACGAGUUCAAGUCUCGUCCCGGGCACCA